rnacentral:lncRNA from 1 species
GGGUUCCUGGAGGGCCUCUCCGGGACUCGAGGAAAACGACCUUUUCCCUUGCAGCGGCGGGAGAGGGCGAAGUGGAGGACUGCUGCUCGGUUCCGUAUCCAAAAGAGACCCAAGGCUCCAGGCAAAAUAGAUUGGACAUUUUCACUUUCUCAAGCCAGGGCCACCGGUCGCCCAACCAGCAGCCACUGAGGGUGGUAUCGGGGCGCCCCUUCCCCUGGCAGCGUAUUUCAGCCCCCAGAGACAUCCCCCACCUCGGCCAUCCCCAGCGCCUUUGCAGGGACAGCAGCACAACCAUAGCAGAGGUCCUGGGCAUCCUGGAAAUAACGUGCUGGUGAUCUGGCUCAGAAGUGCACGUUGGCCCGCGCGUGCGGGGAGCUGAGAAGCAAGAGAUUGGAACUUUGCACGUGUCAAGCAAGGUUUGGCCUGCUUUGAAGACAGUAAUUUCAGAGCCACUCCGGUCUCUGCGUCACAAGCGGGCAUCAGGGCAGUGGUGGGGCGGCAGGGGAUCCUGAGACCUCCCAUGCCCUCUCUUUGGCCCCGGUGCUUCUGGGCUUCAAAAUGGUUAACUGAAAAGAACGGAGGUCACAUGACAACAUGAGUAUAUCCCCCAAGGAAGCCUACCUGUCUAUCCCCAGGAAUCUGAACCAGCAGACAAAGCACUGUCGGGUCCUUGCUGCAACCUCUUCCCCCCACCCCCUUUGAUG